rnacentral:rRNA from 1 species
UACGUAGGUGGCAAGCGUUGUCCGGAUUUAUUGGGUUUAAAGGGUGCGUAGGCGGUCAUGUAAGUCAGCGGUGAAAUCCGGCAGCUCAACUGUCGAUGUGCCAUUGAUACUGCAUGACUUGAGUACUGAUGAGGUAGGCGGAAUUGACGGUGUAGCGGUGAAAUGGCUUAGAUAUCGAUCAAGAACACCGAUAGAGAAGGCAGCUUACUAAGCAGUAACUGACGCUGAUGCACGAAAGUGUGGGGAUCAAACAGGA